CUACGGGGGGCAGCAGUGGGGAAUAUUGGACAAUGGGCGAAAGCCUGAUCCAGCAAUGCCGCGUGUGUGAUGAAGGCCUGUGGGUUGUAAAGCACUUUCGAUAAGGAAGAAAUGCUCAAAGCUAAUACCUUUGAGAACUGACAUUACUUAUAGAAGAAGCACCGGCUAACUCUGUGCCAGCAGCCGCGGUAAUACAGAGGGUGCAAGCGUUAAUCGGAAUUAUUGGGCGUAAAGGGCGUGUAGGCGAAUAUUUAAGUUGAUCGUGAAAUCCCUGGGCUUAACCUAGGAACUGCGGUCAAUACUGGGUAUUUGGAAUAUGGUAGAGGAAAGUGGAAUUCUCGGUGUAGCGGUGAAAUGCGUAGAUAUCGAGAGGAACACCAGUGGCGAAGGCGGCUUUCUGGACCAAUAUUGACGCUGAGGCGCGAAAGCGUGGGGAGCAAACAGGAUUAGAUACCCCCGUAGUC
rnacentral:rRNA from 1 species